CAGUAGCCGCGGUAAUACGUAGGGUGCAAGCGUUGUCCGGAAUUAUUGGGCGUAAAGGGCUCGCAGGCGGUUUCUUAAGUCUGAUGUGAAAGCCCCCGGCUCAACCGGGGAGGGUCAUUGGAAACUGGGAAACUUGAGUGCAGAAGAGGAGAGUGGAAUUCCACGUGUAGCGGUGAAAUGCGUAGAGAUGUGGAGGAACACCAGUGGCGAAGGCGACUCUCUGGUCUGUAACUGACGCUGAGGAGCGAAAGCGUGGGGAGCGAACAGGAUUAGAUACCCCUGUAGUCCCUGUCUCUUAUAC
rnacentral:rRNA from 1 species